rnacentral:other from 1 species
CGGUUGCUGCACGACCCGUCAGGUCGGAACGUCCCUGGGGCCAAUACAAUACCUCUUGGGAGCUGUCCCUACCAGGACCGUGGUCCUGGCAUAUGGCGCCCACCUGCACUUGCAGGCCACAGAGGUGACGCUGGGCCAACGAUCGCGGCGGCACCGUC